rnacentral:rRNA from 1 species
UACGGAGGGUGCAAGCGUUACUCGGAAUUACUGGGCGUAAAGCGUGCGCAGGCGGUUUGUUAAGUCUGUUGUGAAAUCCCCGAGCUCAACUUGGGAAUUGCAAUGGAUACUGGCAGGCUGGAGUAUGGUAGAGGAAGGUGGAAUUCCCGGUGUAGCAGUGAAAUGCGUAGAGAUCGGAAAGAACACCAACGGCGAAAGCACUCUGCUGGGCCGACACUGACACUGAGAGACGAAAGCUAGGGGAGCAAAUGGG